GAUGAACGCUGGCGGCGUGCCUAAUACAUGCCAGUCGAGCGAACGGACGAGAAGCUUGCUUCUCUGAUGUUAGCGGCGGACGGGUGAGUAACACGUGGAUAACCUACCUAUAAGACUGGGAUAACUUCGGGAAACCGGAGCUAAUACCGGAUAAUAUUUUGAACCGCAUGGUUCAAAAGUGAAAGACGGUCUUGCUGUCACUUAUAGAUGGAUCCGCGCUGCAUUAGCUAGUUGGUAAGGUAACGGCUUACCAAGGCAACGAUGCAUAGCCGACCUGAGAGGGUGAUCGGCCACACUGGAACUGAGACGCGGUCCAGACUCCUACGGGAGGCAGCAGUAGGGAAUCUUCCGAAAUGGGCGAAAGCCUGACGGAGCAACGCCGCGUGAGUGAUGAAGGUCCUCGGAUCGUAAAACUCUGUUAUUAGGGAAGAACAUAUGUGUAAGUAACUGUGCACAUCUUGACGGUACCUAAUCAGAAAGCCACGGCUAACUACGUG
rnacentral:rRNA from 1 species